GCGUGAGGAACCUGCCUCAAAGAGGGGGACAACAGUUGGAAACGACUGCUAAUACCGCAUAAGCCCACGGCUCGGCAUCGAGCAGAGGGAAAAGGAGCAAUCCGCUUUGAGAUGGCCUCGCGUCCGAUUAGCUAGUUGGUGAGGUAAUGGCCCACCAAGGCGACGAUCGGUAGCCGGACUGAGAGGUUGAACGGCCACAUUGGGACUGAGACACGGCCCAGACUCCUACGGGAGGCAGCAGUGGGGAAUAUUGCACAAUGGGGGAAACCCUGAUGCAGCGACGCCGCGUGGAGGAAGAAGGUCUUCGGAUUGUAAACUCCUGUUGUUGAGGAAGAUAAUGACGGUACUCAACAAGGAAGUGACGGCUAACUACGUGCCAGCAGCCGCGGUAAAACGUAGGUCACAAGCGUUGUCCGGAAUUACUGGGUGUAAAGGGAGCGCAGGCGGGAGAACAAGUUGGAAGUGAAAUCCAUGGGCUCAACCCAUGAACUGCUUUCAAAACUGUUUUUCUUGAGUAGUGCAGAGGUAGGCGGAAUUCCCGGUGUAGCGGUGGAAUGCGUAGAUAUCGGGAGGAACACCAGUGGCGAAGGCGGCCUACUGGGCACC
rnacentral:rRNA from 1 species